AUACUACUCCCUCCGUUCUGAAUUACUUGUCUUGGAUUUGUCUAGAUACGGAGGUAUCUAGCACUAAAAUGAGUCUAGAUACAUCCGUAUCUAGACAAAUCCAAGACAAGUAAUUCGGAACGGAGGGAGUAUUUC
rnacentral:pre_miRNA from 1 species